rnacentral:rRNA from 1 species
UGGGGAAUUUUGGACAAUGGGGGAAACCCUGAUCCAGCCAUUCCGCGUGUGCGAUGAAGGCCUUCGGGUUGUAAAGCACUUUUGGCAGGAAAGAAAUCGUAUGGAUUAAUACUCUGUGCGGAUGACGGUACCUGCAGAAUAAGCACCGGCUAACUACGUGCCAGCAGCCGCGGUAAUACGUAGGGUGCAAGCGUUAAUCGGAAUUACUGGGCGUAAAGCGUGCGCAGGCGGUUAUACAAGACAGGCGUGAAAUCCCCGGGCUUAACCUGGGAAUGGCGCCUGUGACUGUAUAGCUAGAGUGUGUCAGAGGGGGGUAGAAUUCCACGUGUAGCAGUGAAAUGCGUAGAUAUGUGGAGGAAUACCGAUGGCGAAGGCAGCCCCCUGGGUCGAUACUGACGCUCAUGCACGAAAGCGUGGGGAGCAAACAGG